AGAGUUUGAUCCUGGCUCAGGACGAACGCUGGCGGCGUGCUUAACACAUGCAAGUCGAGCGGUAAGGCCCUUUCGGGGGUACACGAGCGGCGAACGGGUGAGUAACACGUGGGCGACCUGCCCCCUACUCUGGGAUAAGCCUGGGAAACUGGGUCUAAUACCGGAUAUGACCACAUGUCGCAUGGUGUGUGGUGGAAAGUUUUUUCGGUGGGGGAUGGGCCCGCGGCCUAUCAGCUUGUUGGUGGGGUGAUGGCCUACCAAGGCGACGACGGGUAGCCGGCCUGAGAGGGCGACCGGCCACACUGGGACUGAGAUACGGCCCAGACUCCUACGGGAGGCAGCAGUGGGGAAUAUUGCGCAAUGGGCGGAAGCCUGACGCAGCGACGCCGCGUGGGGGAUGACGGCCUUCGGGUUGUAAACCUCUUUCGACCGGGACGA
rnacentral:rRNA from 1 species